ACAUGGGUAGUUGGUGGUAAAAUUCUCACCUUCCACGUGGAAGACCCAGGUUCCAUUCCUAGCCAAUGCA
rnacentral:tRNA from 1 species